rnacentral:rRNA from 1 species
CAAUAGCGUAUAUUAAAGUUGUUGCAGUUAAAAAGCUCGUAGUUGGAUUUGUGGCGUACGGUGUGUUCCGGGCACUUGUUGUCUGAGUAACCUGCUGUUGCCAUCCUUGGGUGGAACCUGUGUGGCAUUAGGUUGUCGUGCAGGGGAUGCCCAUCAUUUACUGUGAAAAAAUUAGAGUGUUCAAAGCAGGCUUAUGCCGUUGAAUAUAUUAGCAUGGAAUAAUGAGAUAGGACUUUUUUGCUAUUUUGUUGGUUUGCGCAAGAAGGUAAUGAUUAAUAGGGACAGUUGGGGGUAUUCGUAUUCCAUUGUCAGAGGUGAAAUUCUUGGAUUUUUGGAAGACGAACUACUGCGAAAGCAUUUACCAAGGAUGUUUUCAUUAA